rnacentral:rRNA from 1 species
AGAGUUUGAUCCUGGCUCAGGACGAACGCUGGCGGCGUGCCUAACACAUGCAAGUCGAGCGGAGACAUGUUGAGGAAGUUUUCGGAUGGAAUUGAUAUGUUUUAGCGGCGGACGGGUGAGUAACGCGUGAGCAACCUGCCUUUCACAGGGGGAUAACGCACCGAAAGGUGCACUAAUACCGCAUGAGACCACAGUGCUGACAUGGUACAGGGGUCAAAGGAGCAAUCCGGUGAAAGAUGGGCUCGCGUCUGAUUAGCUUGUUGGCGGGGUAACGGCCCACCAAGGCGACGAUCAGUAGCCGACCUGAGAGGGUGAUCGGCCACAUUGGAACUGAGAGACGGUCCAAACUCCUACGGGAGGCAGCAGUGGGGAAUAUUGGGCAAUGGGCGAAAGCCUGACCCAGCAACGCCGCGUGAAGGAAGAAGGUUUUCGGAUCGUAAACUUCUAUCCUUGGUGAAGAUAAUGACGGUAGCCAAGAAGGAAGCCCCGGCUAACUACGUGCCAGCAGCCGCGGUAAUACGUAGGGGGCGAGCGUUGUCCGGAAUGAUUGGGCGUAAAGGGCGCGUAGGCGGCCAUUUAAGUCUGGAGUGAAAGUCCUGUUUUUAAGAUGGGAACCGCUUUGGAUACUGGAUGGCUUGAGUGCAGGAGAGGUUAUCGGAAUUCCCGGUGUAGCGGUGAAAUGCGUAGAGAUCGGGAGGAACACCAGUGGCGAAGGCGGGUAACUGGACUGCAACUGACGCUGAGGCGCGAAAGUGUGGGGAGCAAACAGGAUUAGAUACCCUGGUAGUCCACACUGUAAACGAUGAUUACUAGGUGUGGGGGGACUGACCCCUUCCGUGCCGCAGUUAACACAAUAAGUAAUCCACCUGGGGAGUACGGCCGCAAGGUUGAAACUCAAAGGAAUUGACGGGGGCCCGCACAAGCAGUGGAGUAUGUGGUUUAAUUCGAAGCAACGCGAAGAACCUUACCAGGUCUUGACAUCGGAUGCAUAGUUUAGAGAUAAAUGAAAUCCCUUCGGGGACAUCUAGACAGGUGGUGCAUGGUUGUCGUCAGCUCGUGUCGUGAGAUGUUGGGUUAAGUCCCGCAACGAGCGCAACCCUUACCUUUAGUUGCUACGCAAGAGCACUCUAGAGGGACUGCCGUUGACAAAACGGAGGAAGGUGGGGAUGACGUCAAAUCAUCAUGCCUCUUACGUCUUGGGCUACACACGUGAUACAAUGGCUAUUACAAAGAGCUGCAAACCCGUAAGGGCAAGCGAAUCUCAAAAAGAUAGUCUCAGUUCGGACUGUGGGCUGCAACCCGCCCACACGAAGUCGGAGUUGCUAGUAAUCCCGAAUCAGAAUGUCGGGGUGAAUGCGUACCCGGGUCUUGUACACACCGCCCGUCA